AACGAACGCUGGCGGCAGGCUUAACACAUGCAAGUCGAACGAGAUCUUUGGAUCUAGUGGCAGACGGGUGAGGAACACGUGGGAACAUCCCUUUCAGUUCGGAAUAACGUUGGGAAACUAACGCUAAUACCGGAUACGUCCUUCGGGAGAGAGAUUUAUCGCUGAAAGAUUGGCCCGCGUCUGAUUAGCUAGUUGGUGAGGUAACGGCUCACCAAGGCUACGAUCAGUAGCUGAUCUGAGAGGAUGAUCAGCCACAUUGGGACUGAGACACGGCCCAAACUCCUACGGGAGGCAGCAGUGGGGAAUAUUGGACAAUGGGCGCAAGCCUGAUCCAGCCAUGCCGCGUGAGUGAUGACGGCCUUCGGGUUGUAAAGCUCUUUUGUCCGGGAAGAUAAUGACUGUACCGGAAGAAUAAGCCCCGGCAAACUUCGUGCCAGCCGCCGCCGUAA
rnacentral:rRNA from 1 species